UUUUUCUUGUCUGAAUCCUCUUUCACUUCCGACACCAUUACUUCAUCUCAGUCCCUCAGUGAUGGCAGGACCUUAGUUUCAAAAGAUGGAAGCUUUGAGCUUGGUUUCUUCAGUCCUGGUAGUUCCAAGAAUCGUUACGUGGGAAUUUGGUACAAAAAUAUGCCAGUUAAAACUGUUGUUUGGGUUGCAAACCGAAUCAACCCCAUUAAUGACUCUUCUGGGUUGUUAGUUGUAAACAAGACGGGCAAUCUUGUUUUAACAAGCCAGAACAAGAGUGUAGUUUGGUCAGCAAACUUGAGCAAAGAAGUCCGGACUCCAGUUGUAUUGCAGCUACUAGAUUCAGGAAAUCUUGUCCUCAGAGGCGAACGAGAUGGCGGUUCUGAAACUUAUUUAUGGCAAAGCUUUGAUUAUCCUUCUGAUAAUUUGCUACCGGGAAUGAAGCUCGGAUGGGAUUUGAAGGCUGGUCUUGAGCGGCGUAUAACAUCAUGGAAGAGCCCAGACGACCCGUCUCCUGGAAACUUUACUUGGGCAGUUAAACGACAAGAUAACCCUGAGUUAAUGAUGUGGAAGGGAUCAAGAAAGUUAACUAGGAGUGGCCCAUGGAAUGGCCUUAGAUUCAGUGGUUCAUCAUUAAGGCCAAACCCCGUUUUUAACUUCGGCUUUGUCUCUAAUGAGGUUGAGCUGUACUACAAAUUCGACAUGAGAGAUAAAGCUGCUUUCCAAAGGAUUGUUAUGAACCAAACACUCUAUUUAGUUCAACGAUUCACAUGGAAUAAAGCAACUCAAAGCUGGGAAUUGUAUUCAAAUGUGCCAAGAGAUCUAUGAGACACUUAUGCCCUUUGUGGUGCCUAUGGCAUUUGCAUCAUUAGCGAUAUGCCUGUUUGCCAAUGUUUAAAAGGUUUUAAACCAAAGUCAAGGGGAUAUGUGGACUGGUCUCAAGGGUGUGAGCGUGAUAAGUCGUUAAACUACUCUAGACAAGAUGGAUUCAUCAAAUUCACAGCGAUGAAAUUGCCAGAUGCUACUCUUUCUUGGGUGAGUAAAAGUAUGAAUCUCAAUGAAUGCCGGGAGAAAUGCUUAGACAACUCUUCUUGUAUGGCAUACACAAAUUCAGAUAUCAGAGGAGAAGGCAGUGGCUGUGCCAUGUGGUUUGGUGAACUGAUUGACAUGAGAGACUUUCCAGAUGGUGGGCAGGACUUGUAUAUUCGAAUGUCUGCUUCAGAGAUAGGUACUCGCAAACUUGUUUAUGUCACUCCAUUAUGAGAACUUAGGAGUACCACUCCAGUUAGACUAGUUGCACAUUUUUAUUGUGCAAUUUAGUAUUGAGUUCUGAUUGAGAAGCUCCUUUCGCAUAAAGCAGUUUCUGGGUAUAGCUUCUAUGCAUAGAAUUCUGCUGCUAUUUGAAUCAUUUGAUUAUUGACUUGCUUUGCUAUAUCUGAAUACGCUGAUCAAGGAGCGAAAGGUGAGCCUAGGACGAAGAUGGUGGUGAUAGUCAUUUCUAUUGCUGCUCUGUCAGCUGUGGUGAUUGCAGCUGGCUACUUGGUUCACAAAAGAAGGAGAAAUAUAGUAGGUAUAAUAUUGCUCCAUUUUCCUUCACAAAUUUUCGCUGACGAUUUGAUGCAGGCAAAUCAAACUCUUAUAAAUAUUAAAUUUAUAAGAGUAGAUUAAAUUUUUAUAUGCAGCAAUAACUGUAUAUUUGUUUCAAGAUGAAGCGUUAUCAGUGCAUAUCAUUUAGAUCAGGGGCAAGGUAAUUAAACAUGUAAAUUUUUCGUUGGAAUAGCAGGUUUACUUAUUUGCAUUUAGUGUUAUAUUAAUACACGCCUCUUUUUCACCUAUGGUUCUUUAUUUACUUGCACUUUCAUAUUGACUGGAAAAUAUCUUUAAUACAAAUUUACAGAUAACGAACCUUCUCAUCAAGAACAUGAAAAUUGUAGUUACUAGUUAGGAGUUUAAUAUUAUCCAAUAUUUCAGAGAAAACAGAAAACAACAGAGAAACUGAUCAGGUUCAAAACAUGGACCUGGAGCUACCACUGUUUGAGUUAGCUACAAUUGCUAAUGCCACCGAUAACUUUUCAAUCAACAACAAGCUUGGAGAAGGUGGCUUUGGACCCGUUUACAAGGUAAACUUGAAAGCUGCAAGUCAAGAAUACUUAUUUUACUGGGUAACUAAAUUCACAUAUAUCUUCCCAGGGCACCCUAGUGGAUGGACAGGAAAUUGCGGUAAAAAGGCUUUCGAAGAUUUCUGAGCAAGGAUUGAAGGAGUUAAAGAAUGAAGUUAUACUAUUUUCCAAAUUACAGCACAGAAAUCUUGUAAAGCUUCUUGGCUGCUGCAUUCAAGGAGAGGAGAAAUUGUUGAUUUAUGAAUUCAUGCCCAACAAAAGCCUGAACUCUUUCAUUUUUGGUCUGGGUCCCUGUAACCUUAAAAUAUUCGGCUAGCUUGUGCCUUGAUUAUAGACGUUUCUUAUGUAUUUUCAGAAAAUUUUGUGCUAACCUUAAUGUGGUAAUUUGUAGAUCAAGAAAGAUGUAAGAUAUUGGAUUGGCCCAAGCGUUUCCACAUUAUUUGUGGGACUGCUAGGGGUGUUAUGUACCUUCAUCAAGAUUCUAGAUUGAGGAUUAUACAUCGAGAUCUCAAAGCAAGUAAUGUGCUACUCGAUCAAGAUAUGAACCCAAAAAUUUCAGAUUUUGGUUUGGCAAGAGCUUUUGGUGGAGACGAAAUAGAAGGAAACACAAACAGAGUGAUUGGAACAUAGUAAGUACUUCUUGUCGUGUGAUCUUUACGAUUCACUUGUACUGAUUAAUGAAAAUUAACUUAUAUAUUUUAAUCUUUUGAAGUGGUUAUAUGGCACCGGAAUACGCUAGUGAUGGGAAAUUCUCAGUAAAAUCCGAUGUCUUCAGCUUUGGAAUUUUAUUGCUGGAGAUAAUAAGUGGAAAGAAAAAUAGAGGAUUUUAUCAUUCCGACAACAAGCUUAACCUUAUAGGACAUGUAAGUAAAAUGCAUACGACAUUUUCUAACAUAGUUUGAACUAAUAAACUGUAGAUGAUAAAAGAGUUUUAAUAUGUUGUAGGCAUGGAAGUUGUGGAACGAAGGCAUGCCUUCACAAUUAAUCGAUCCGUGUAUUCAAGGUUCAUUCAAUCUUGUUGAAGUGAUACGAUGCAUCCACAUCGGUUUGUUAUGCGUGCAACAGCAUCCAAAGGACCGGCCAAGCAUGCCCUCAGUGAUUUUGAUGUUGGGCAGCGAGAUUGUGUUGCCUCAGCCAAAGCAACCCGGUUACUUGGAGGACAGGAAAUCUACCAGACAAGAUUAUUCAUCAAGCACGCCUGAAUCAUGUUCAACAAAUACAAUUACGAUCUCUGAGUUGGAGGGUCGGUAGAGAAUCUAUUUGUGGUAUCAAGUGCAAAAGCAGUAAUAUGUCAACCAAAUGGAAAGUUAAGAUAAAUGAUUGGAGAAAAAAUGAUGAGGAUCAUCCAGUGAAUGCAUGUUGUGGAUCUAAAAGUUCAGAAGAUAGGACAAUUUUGCAGCUGACUGGUUGGCUAAAAAUGCAGGCUCUAUGCCUCUCGGAUUUCAUGUUUAUCAAGAACCUCCUGUAGGUCAUGAUCCUUGGCUUUGUUAUGAUAGGUAUGGGACAAUGAUUUCUCAUUCGGUUGUGUCUUAACUUGGCUAAGCCUAUUUUUGGUAAAAAAAAAAAAAAGAAUUUAAACUAAUGUUCAUAUAGAAAUUGUAAAUUAGAGGUACUGUGAGCAGUGUUGGGUCAAAAAAAUGAUUAACCCAGACUUAAAUUAAAUAAAAGCAAGACAUUAUAAUUGUUUUGAUAUAAAAUAUUUGCUAAUACAUUUAUGAGAAUAUCUUUGGUGCUUUUGGAGCAUUUUUAUCUAUUCACAAUUUAUUACUUGUGUAUAUAUGUCAUCAGGAUUAGUAGAAACAUACACAUGACAAAGUGUAAAUGAAAAAGGAGAAGCUCUCCAAGAGUACCCAAGAUUUUUUCUACAUUUUGAAAAUCAUGUGCAAUAUACUCAUUAUCAAUACUAUUAAGUACAUCCUUUUCUACGUAAACAACAAAAUUAACAUUCAUUCAUUCAUCUCUCAUCCAAUUUCAACGUUGACUCUUCAUGAACUUAAUUGCUGAAAACGUUCUCUCUACUGUGGCUAUGGGAAUCGAAAAAAUUAUAGUUAAGUGUCACCAACGAAUACAUUAAUACUGUAAUGGAUAUUCUUUAUCUUUUUUAGUCUCAAACUGUUCUUUUAGCAACUCAUUGAUUCCCUUCAUUCCUGCAAACCUGCCUAAUUGUUCUUUCCUAAUUUAACGCAAGCCCUAAUUUUCUGUUCUUUUUAGAACAAGAAAGAUAAAAUUUGUGAUUGGAGGAGUGGCUAAUUAUUAUUUUUAAUAAAAUUGAAUCUAUUUUUUUGAAAUAGAAAAAUGUUUUGGGUUGUGGGUUAUUAUUAUUUUUAAAUAAAGCGUGACUUUAAAAGUUCAAGUUAAAAUUUAAAUUUUGUAGGUUUAUGAAUGUAUAGAGGCUAUUUUAAUAGAUUGAUGAAGGUUAAUUAGAAACCGAAAUGAUUUUUUCUUUUAAUUUUUUUUUUGUCUUUAACAUGCUAAAUCCACCACUCCUACCGAUAAGAAUUGGGAUGAUUUAUUUUUAUCUUAAUGAUCAUAAUAAAAAUCUUUUAAAAAUUUUACUAUUUUAUCAAAAUUAUUAUUUAAAAAUUAUAUUUACCCCAAUUUUUUUUUUAACUACAAUAUUUUUUUUUCACCACACGACUGUAACUUUUAAUAUAACUUAGGUUAUCAAAAUUUUGAGCUUCAUUCAACCAACCAUAACUAUCAUGAUCAAAGUCUACGUUGCUUAAGUCAAGAAGGACUUUAAUGGGAGGGAGAUAAUUAUUAUUAUCGACAUUACAAAUGGACCCCAAUUAUAUCUAAAGUCUUUGGGCUCCUGUCUCGUUUUCUUCUUCUUUUUCAAAACCCUAUUUACUAACCAUUAAUUUGGUUGGUUGAUGAAUCCGGCCGUUUCUGAUUUUCUUAUUUAUUUUGAUGGGAGUGACCCCCUAACGAUGGCAUCGCAAUCUCAUGAAAAAAAAUUUCCAAACGCAUGAAAAUUGGACACCCGUCAACAAAAAUCUUUUUGUUACAGUAUUUACUGUACUUUCAAAAAUUUGAACAUGACAAAAAUUAAGUAAUCUACUUAUUAUAAUAAUCUAUGACCAAAAAUAUUGAACAUGUAUUUUUUUUUUUUGUAAUUAUACACGCACAUCACUCUUUUACGAUUAAUUGACUAAACUUGUAUGAUAAACGAUUUUAUAAUGGAUUGUCUCAUAAUCUAAAUUUAUCAAAUAUCUUAAUGGUGAGACUAUUUGAAUUGAAUCCAUAAAAUUCUUUUAAAAUUUUCUUUACAACUUAUAACAUACUUUUCAGAAAGUCUGUCGAGUACUAAUUCAGAAAUUUAUUUCAAUAUAUAUCAAGAAAAAUUAUUUGGUUAAGAGAAAUGAGCCCCUUUGAAAAUUUGAGUUGGUGAAGCAUGAGCUCAUCAUUAGUCAACCCAUCAAAUUAUUCAAGAAACACAUUUGCCCCACACAUCCAUAAUUAAUUAAAAGGAUGGAAUUAUUUGAACUUAUUAAAUUUCUCUUAAGAUCCAUUUAUUUAAUAUAUCCUCUGUCAAAAUCUUAAAAUUAAAUUUUAACUCUAUAAACCUCUUAAUACCCCACAAAUAACCGUUUUAUGGUUGGUGCAAUAAUUUAGAUAAUUAAAUUAUUUAUUAUUUUGGUAAUUUUUAUUUAAGAUUAUUUUUGUAAUAUAAAUUUUUAUUUAAAAUAGGUCUAAGGUGCAUUUUUAUGGGGGCCCAAAUGACCUUAAAAUUAGAAAAAGUUAAAUUUUACCAUAUAAAAGUAAAACCUCUUGUAAUUCCUAAAGUAUCCUUGAUUAGAUUUCUUUUUUUAAUUUUAAUAUUUUCUCUCUUCUAUAGAAGUUGCUAUAUCCUUUCUUGGUAAGAUGCUCUGUUCAGGCUUCCAUGUAUUUGGCUUGAAUUGGCAACUUAACUCGAAUCAAUUCGGUUUAUGCCUUUGAUCAAACUCAUUUCGCCUCUCCAAGAAUCUGCAAAAUUAAUUGGUAUUAUCAUGUCGGUGCUGCUUAUAAUUGGCAGUGCUUGCAUUGCCCUGAAUCCAGGCGUUGCUCGAGUAUAGUUGGGCUUCCUUAUUCAUUUUAGUGACAGAUGAAAACAUUAAAAAAAAAAAUCAGGACUUGUUUGUCAAAAUUUACAGAUAUUUUGUUCUUUAAUUAAUUUUAUUGUUACAAACAAUAGGAUAGCAGUGUCGUUGAACCAGUUGCUUACACCUGGGGCAACAUAGUUUUUUUUUUUUUUUUUAGUUUGUGAGAUGGCCAAUAUCUGUGUAUAUAUAUAUAUAUAUGGAUCCCCCUAUCUUACAUGCAUGUAAGAUACAUCCCUCUCACAUGAAUAGUGUAUGGACCCCACACAUGCACAAUUCAUGUGAGGGGGAUAUAUCUUACAUGCAUGUAAGAUAGAGAUGUAUCUUACAUGUGAGGGGGAUGUAUCUUACAUGCAUGUAAGAUAGGAAUUACCAUAUAUAUAUAUAUAAUUAUUGACUCAAUGUGUAAAAGGUACCAAUAUUGACUCAAUGUGUCAAAUUUCUUGAAAAGUUUAACAUCAAAUGCCUUUUUUCCACUGUUGUUAGUAUAAGUCAAACGGCCCACCCUUCUGUCCUUCACAUGUUCUGCGUUCCCCAUGUUCACAUUUUACAAUAUUAAAUAGAGAAUUUUGAGUCCAGAAGCAAUGACUUUCUGGUCAGUCCCCUCCAAGAUGGAUUAUCAGUAAUGGUGUUUAAUUAUAUUUAUUUAAUUUGUUAGAGAGAGCUCUACGUCUAUAGAGUAUAACAAAUGGAUGUAUUUAUGUUUUCCUUCAUCUGUUGUAAGUUACUGUUUUUCUUGUCUGAAUCCUCUUUCGCUUCCGACACCAUUACUUCAUCUCAGUCCCUCAGUGAUGGCAGGACCUUAGUUUCAAAAGAUGGAAGCUUUGAGCUUGGUUUCUUCAGUCCUGGUAGUUCCAAGAAUCGUUACGUGGGAAUUUGGUACAAAAAUAUGCCAGUUGUUAAGGAAGCUUACAGUGUACAAAAGGGAGUUGCAUAUUGAGCACGUGUGUGUCAAUGAUGAGUCAUCAGUUAGUUGAGUAAAGAAGCCAGCUCAACAAAUCUGUUAAUCAUGUUUUACGUUCUGUUCUUCAAUUGUUAGUAAUGCUUUAAUUCUGUUGAGAUUUGUGAGUUAGUAUAAAUAAGGUUGUGAUUGUAUUUGUAAUUAAUAACGUGAGAUUCAAUAAAAG
rnacentral:lncRNA from 1 species